rnacentral:rRNA from 1 species
ACCCUUCGAUGUUCUGGGCCGCACGCGCGCUACACUGAUGCGUUCAGCAAGCUCUCUAACCUUCACCGAUAGGUGUGGGUAAUCUUCUGAAAGCGCAUCGUGUUUGGGCUAGAUUAUUGCAAUUAUUAAUCUUCAACGAGGAAUGCCUAGUAGGCGCAAGUCAUCAGCUUGCGUCGAUUACGUCCCUGCCCUUUGUACACACCGCCCGUCGCUCCUACCGAUUGAAUGUGUUGGUGAGGAGCUCGGAUUGGCAGCAGUUGGUGGUUCGCCACCGGCUAUUGCUGAGAAGUCCUCCAAACCGCCCCAUUUAGAGGAAGGAGAAGUCGUAACA